UGAGCCUCAGCAAAAUAAAGUGGGGUCAACUGAACGUUACAUUAACAGUUAAAUUACUGUUCUUUAUCUUCAAAAGCGCAUUGAAAGUGAAGACUCCUGUAGUUAUCGGCUAAACUUAAAGAAACAGGGCCAUUUUGAGUAUGCUCCAGAGGCUCGCUCUGUCCCUGCGGCGGCCCCAUGCCGCUCCUCUCGCGCCCGGGUUAAGGUUUGUCUCCUCGGGCUCAGUGAACGUCACCGUCCCGCUAAACUUCUGGGCUGGGAAGAGAAGGACGAGCCAACACAAAUGCAACAAGGAAAUUGUUUAUGAACCUGCAACAGGGCGAGUCUUGUGCCAUUUGGAGCCGUGUGGUGCUUUGGAUGUCGAUCAGGCUAUGAAGGCCGCAAAGUCGGCCUUUGGCCAUUGGAGCAAGAUGUCUGGGAUGGAGAGGGCAAGGAUCAUGAUAGAAGCUGCCCAUAUCAUUGAGAGCAGGAGAGAGGAGAUAGCUGAAAUGGAGGUGGUCAACAAUGGGAAGUCCAUCACAGAGGCCCGUCUGGAUGUGGACUCUGGCAGACUGUGUAUAGAGUACUAUGCAGGACUGGCCAGCACUCUGGCAGGCCAGCAUGUGCAGCUGCCUGGAGGAUCCUUUGCCUACACCCGCAGGGAGCCUUUGGGAGUCUGUGUUGGAAUUGGUGCUUGGAAUUAUCCUUUUCAGAUUGCUGCCUGGAAAUCAGCUCCAGCCCUGGCCUGUGGCAACUCCAUGGUGUUCAAGCCGUCACCAGUGACACCUGUGACGGCAGUCAUGCUGGCAGAGAUCUAUGCUAAGGCUGGAGCUCCAGAGGGGCUGUUCAACGUGGUGCAGGGCAGCCAGGACACCGGGAGCUUACUCUGCCACCACCCCGAUGUGGCUAAGGUCUCCUUCACUGGGAGUGUGCCCACAGGAAAGAAGAUAAUGGAGAUGGCAUCCAGAGGGGUGAAACCCGUGACUCUGGAGCUUGGGGGGAAAUCUCCUCUGCUCAUCUUCCAGGACAGUGAUCUGGAGAACGCUGUGAGGGGAGCUCUCAUGGCCAAUUUCCUUUCUCAGGGACAGGUCUGCAGCAACGGCACAAGGGUCUUUGUUCAGAAGGAUAUUCUGCCUGAGUUCGUGGAGGAGGUGGUGAAGAGGACCCAGGCGAUAGAGAUAGGGGACCCGCUGUUAGAGAGCACCCGAAUGGGAGCACUGGUCAGCAAGCCACAUCUAGAAAAAGUCCUGUCCUUUGUGGAUCAGGCAAAGAAAGAGGGAGCCACAGUGUUGUGUGGAGGUGAACUUUUUACCCCAUCAGACCCCAAACUCAAAGGUGGAUACUACAUGACUCCAUGUGUGUUGGGUGACUGCACAGAUGACAUGACCUGUGUGAAGGAGGAGAUCUUUGGUCCCGUCAUGUCUGUUUUGUCCUUUGAAACAGAAGAGGAAGUGCUGUAUAGAGCCAACAACACCACCAUGGGUCUGGCUGCAGGAGUUUUCACCAGGGAUGUGAGGCGAGCCCAUCGUGUGGUUGAAAACCUCAAGGCUGGUUCCUGUUUCAUUAACAACUACAACAUCACUCCCGUCGAGGUUCCCUUCGGAGGCUUCAAAAUGUCAGGCAUAGGGCGGGAGAAUGGCCAGGUGACCAUCGAACACUACUCCCAGCUAAAGACGGUGUUUGUGGAGAUGGGCGAUGUGGACAGUCUCUUCUAGGGAACGCACACAGAGGAGGAGGACGCUGUAACACUGAGCCAGAGACUGAAACAGAUGGUCCGGACCAGGACGUCUCUUCCAUCACUCGGGAAAACCAACAAACUUUAGCGUUCGAAAGUGAUGAAGAAACAAGCCUCGAUCAACGGGGCUCAAGUUGUCCGUCCUUCAUGUGAUUGUUGCCAUGUUGUUCAAUGUUGUGAAGGAAAAUGUAAAACAAUUCAAGGCAAUGUGAGACAAAUGUCUGUGGUUACGAAGCAGAAUAGUGGCAAUGUAACAUUAGAAUCAAAAACAAACAUUAUUGUCUGUGCCAAAUGGAUCUGCUCUAAGUAUUUACUGAAGGUUGAUUCUUUUCAGCCUCUCCAGCAUAGAUGAGUUGUAUAUUGUGAUUCAUGAGUUGCAAUGCAGCAGUCUUGCCUUGCUGAAUAUUUUGCCACAUACAGUGAGGUCCAAAAGGUCUGAGGGGAACGUGGUGCCCACUGUAUGUGACAAAAUAUUCAUCCAGUGAAUGUAGAGGAGUUACAUUUCUGUUAACAAAACAAAACAAAGUUUACAAUCAAGUUUUAUUUCUUAAAGAAAACGUAACAAUAUAUUUUUAUACACAUGCAAUACUAAAAAAAUGAAGCACUUUUGAAGUUGUGAACGCUGUGUUGUUGUGUUGUUUAAAUUAGAACUGACAACAACAUUUUGCCUUUGUGGGAAUUAUCGACGGAACCUGACGGAAACUCAUUUGAUUUUUGGCAGCUGCAUGUUUCUAAGAAAGACACAAAAGAUAAUCACCUGUAUAGUUUGCAU